rnacentral:rRNA from 1 species
CCUACGGGAGGCAGCAGUGGGGAAUAUUGCACAAGGGGGGAAACCCUGAUGCAGCGACGCCGCGUGAGUGAAGAAGGAUUUCGGUAUGGAAAGCUCUAUCAGCAGGGAAGAAAAGGACGGUAACUGAGUAAGAAGCCCCGGCUAACGACGUGCCAGCAGCCGCGGUCAUCCGUAGGGGGCAAGCGUUAUCCGGAUUUACUGGGUGUAAAGGUAGCGUAGACGGCAGCACAAGUCUGGAGUGAAAUGCCGGGGCUUAACCCCGGAACUGCUUUGGAAACUGUGCAGCUAGAGUGCAGGAGAGGUAAGUGGCAUUCCUAGUGUAGCGGUGACAUGCGUCGAUCUUAGGAGGACCACCAGUGUCGAAGGCGACUUACUGGACUGUAACUGACGUUGCGGCUCG